rnacentral:rRNA from 1 species
ACGCUCGACACCUACGGAGGCAGCAGUGGGGAAUAUUGCACAAUGGGGGAAACCCGUGAUGCAGCGACGCCGCGUGGAGGAAGAAGGUACUUCGGUAUUUGUAAACUCCUGUUGUUGGGGAAAAANGGAUGGAAGUAACCCAACAAGGGAAGUGACGGACUAAACUACGUGCCUAGACAUCCCGCGGUAAUCUGGAGCGGGGACUUGGCAAAGGGCCNGNNA